GCCGAAGUGGUGAAAUUGGUAUACACGCCUGCCUUAGGAGCAGGUGCUUCACAGCGUGCGGGUUCGAGUCCCGCCUUCGGCA
rnacentral:tRNA from 4 species